CGUAGGGUCCGAGCGUUAUCCGGAAUUACUGGGCGUAAAGAGUUCUGUAGGCGGGUUGAUAAGUUUAGAUUGAAACUCCAAGGCUCAACCUCGGAUUUGGUCUAAAUACUAUCAAUCUAGAGUCUCGUAGGGACUAGGGGAACGGGUGGUGGAGCAGUGAAAUGCGUUGAUAUCACCUGGAACACCAAAGGCGAAGGCACCUAGUUGGGCGAGUACUGACGCUGAGAGGCGAAAGCGUGGGGAGCAAAACGGAUUAGAUACCCGUGUAGUCCACGCCGUAAACGAUGGAUGCUAGAUAUUGUUUUUAGCUAAAACAGUGUCGCAAGCUAACGCAUUAAGCAUCCCGCCUGGGGAGUACGGCCGCAAGGCUA
rnacentral:rRNA from 1 species